GACGAACGCUGGCGGCGUGCUUAACACAUGCAAGUCGAACGGAAAGGCCCUGCUUUUGUGGGGUGCUCGAGUGGCGAACGGGUGAGUAACACGUGUGUAACCUGCCCUUGACUUUGGGAUAACUUCAGGAAACUGGGGCUACUACCGGAUAGGAGCUCCUGCUGCAUGGUGGGGGUUGGAAAGUUUCGGCGGUUGGGGAUGGACUCGCGGCUUAUCAGCUUGUUGGUGGGGUAGUGGCUUACCAAGGCUUUGACGGGUAGCCGGCCUGAGAGGGUGACCGGCCACAAUGGGACUGAGAUACGGCCCAGACGCCAACGGUAGGCAGCGGUGGGGAGUAUUACACAAUGGGCGGAAGCCUGAUGCAGCAACGCCGCGUGCGGGAAGACGGCCUGCGGGUAGUGAACCGCAUUCGCCUGAGACGAAGCGUUAGUGACGGUAAUGGGUAAAGAAGCACCGGCUAACUACGUG
rnacentral:rRNA from 1 species